UUGUGUUCCAGGAUUUUCCGUACAGAUCAGUGUUGGUUGAUACAGAAAAGAUUAGCAUGGUCUCUGUGCAAGGAUGAUAUGUAAAUUCAAAAAAGCAUUCCAUAUAUUC
rfam:Ictidomys tridecemlineatus contig053842, whole genome shotgun sequence.